UGGGGAAUAUUGGACAAUGGGCGAAAGCCUGAUCCAGCCAUGCCGCGUGUGUGAAGAAGGUCUUCGGAUUGUAAAGCACUUUAAGUUUGGAGGAAGGGCAUUAACCUAAUACGUUAGUGUUUUGACGUUACCGACAGAAUAAGCACCGGCUAACUCUGUGCCAGCAGCCGCGGUAAUACAGAGGGUGCAAGCGUUAAUCGGAAUUACUGGGCGUAAAGCGCGCGUAGGUGGUUUGUUAAGUUGGAUGUGAAAUCCCCGGGCUCAACCUGGGAACUGCAUUCAAAACUGACUGACUAGAGUAUGGUAGAGGGUGGUGGAAUUUCCUGUGUAGCGGUGAAAUGCGUAGAUAUAGGAAGGAACACCAGUGGCGAAGGCGACCACCUGGACUAAUACUGACACUGAGGUGCGAAAGCGUGGGGAGCAAACA
rnacentral:rRNA from 1 species